rnacentral:rRNA from 2 species
AAUGAACACAAAUUUGAUCACUUUGGCAAUCUGUACACAUUGCUGUGUAACAAUUUGUAUACGUUGGCACAGUGCUAUCAAAGCUGCAUGCAAGUGUUUUUUUGAAAGGAUACAACAUGGGAUGUGAUAUUCAUGUGUGUGUGCCUGCUUUGUCCACAGCCUGUGCUGUAUGAAUCACAUUUCUUGCAACUGAAAUGCUAAUGGCAUGGUAAAGUUCAUGUGACAUGACACAAGCUUGAGAUUCAUGAUGUGCAAGUACCAUGAGGGAAAUGUGAAAAGGACUUUGGAAAGAGAAUUAAAUAAAGCCUGCAUUUGCUGACAAUGAAAGCAAGUGUGGAUGUUCAUGUAAUUGUUACUGCAUCAAUCAAUGUUCAUCUUGGUUACUGCAUGCUUUAUAUUACAGCUCAAAACAUGAAGUGUGUGUAACAGCUCUGCUUUGAUUUUUCCCACAUGGGAUCAGUUGAAACAUUGUGAGAGCACUCUUCAGUUUCCUUAUGUACCCACCAGCUUUGUCCACUCGCGUGUUGGCACACAUGUAAUGAUGAUGUGUUUAUGCAAGAUACUUCUGUGCUCAACAACAUGUUGUGUCAAUCCUCACUUGACCCGUCUUGAAACACGGACCAAGGAGUCUGGCAAGUGUGCAAACCAACUUUCUGUAGAGAUUUGUAUGUAAUGAACAUGUUUGUAUCAUUAUUGCACCACCAAUCAAUAUUCAGCUCGUUGCUUAUUUGAAUGUGAGCAUUGUUGCUAGGACCCGAAAGAUGGUGAACUAUGCUUGCAUAACAUGAGUUCAGAGGAAACUCUGAUGGAAGUUUGUAUCGGUACUGACGUGCAAAUCGUUCGUCACAACUGGGUAUAGGGGCGAAAGAUUAAUCGAACCAUCUAGUAGUUGGUUCCUCCCGAAGUUUCCCUCAGGAUAGUUGGGAUUUGUUCACUUAUAUUAUUUAAAGCGAAUGUUUAAAGGAAUUGGGGGCUUGUUUGCCUUUGACCUAUUCUCAAACUUUUAAUGUGUAUUCAUGCCGCAAUAACACAGAGUAUUGCAUGCAAUGAAAAAAUCAAGUGGGCCAUUUUUGGUAAGCAGAACGGGCGAUGAGGGACGAACCUAAUAGUGGGUAAACAUGCUUAAUUUCCUGCCUAUGUGAUACCAGAAAGGGUGUUGGUUCAU